CGGCCCUACCAUGCUGAAUAUACCGGUUCUCGUUAGAUCACCGAAGUCAAGCAUCAUUGGGCGCGGUCAGUACUUGGGUGGGUGACCACCUGGGAACACUGCGUGCCGUU
rnacentral:rRNA from 1 species